rnacentral:lncRNA from 1 species
CAAAAUAUAUAUUAACAAAGGACAUGUAUUAACAUAUCAAGAAAUCUUACAACUCAAUGAGGAAAAAAAUUUUAAAUUUGGAAAAGUGUGGAUACUUUACCAAGAAAAUAUACAGAUAGUAAAUAGAUACACAAAAAAGAUGCACAACAUCUUUAGUCACAGGAAAAUGCAAAUUAAAACCAUAAUGAAAUAACACUACAAACUCACUAGAAUGACUAAAAUUAAAAAGAUUGAUAAUAUCAAAUGUUGGUAAAGACGUGAAACAACUAGAAUUGGAACUCUCUUACACUGCUAACAUGAAUAACUGCAUAACAGUCUGGCAUUUUUUUAAAAAGUCGAACAUACACCUACCAUACAACUCUUAUUUACCCCAGAGAUUUGAAAGUAUAUGUGCACACCAAGAUUUCUACACAAAUAUUCAGAGUAACUUCAUUUGAAAGAGCUUAAAACUGAAAGUAACCCAAAUAAAUGUUCAUUAUUAGGUAAACACAUAAACUGUAGUUCAUCUGCAGAACUAGUCAUCAAUAUAAAGGAAUGAACUAUUGAUACAUGCAACAACAUGGAUGAAUCUCAAAGCACGGUAAGUAAAAGAAGUGAGAUAAAACUGAAUCUAUAUUUAUGAUUCCACUCAUAUAAAAUUCUAGAAAAUACAAACUAAUCUGGACUUAAAGUAGAUCAGUAGUUGCACAGGGAUGGAAUGGGAAUGGAUGAUAAGGGGCAAAAGGAACCUUGGGAAUGAUAAAUGUUUUUUAUUUUGAUUAUUGUGGCAGAUAUGUGGAUAUAUACUCGUAUAUGUCAAUAUUUACCAAAUGUUAACAAAAAUAUAUUUACCAAAUGUUUACAUGCAAUUUAUUGUAUCGCUAUUUGUCAAUAAAAGAUAAAAUAACAAAGGUCACAUCUGCUCUAUCAUAAAUCACUAGAAAACUGGGCAAAAUACAUAAAAGAACUGUUUCAAACAAUGGACAAUAGACAAAGCAAGACUGUUAUCCCUGAGAGAAGAGAAACAAAAGAAAUGAGCUCUAUGACUGCUCCAUCUUUCUGUCUGGAUGCAUUUUCCUAACAGUGGUACAGGGAGGGGAACUCAACCAGAGCCCAGAAUGCUGAGUAUGAAAGGACAGAGAUGGGAGUUCGUGGGAGACUGACUGGUUGUUGGGCACAGGACAGAGCUCUAGAGAGAAGGGAACUAUGCAGAAAAGGAACUCCAUAUAAGUACCCUUCAGUCUUUGUUUUAGCCCAAACAUGCAUGAAAUGACUCAUGCGGUUGAGCAAAAAAGAUGUAUCAGUUUUAAACUGAAUAAUUCCCAGAGGUGUGCAGGGCAAGAAGUUUCAACCAAUUGAAGCCUUGAGUCCUGGGUGGUCAACUAGGGCAUUCAUUGUCAACCACAAAGAGGCUACCCCACAGUACUAUGACUGAAGUCUCUCUUUUAAAAAAAAUUUUUAUUUAUUUAUUUAUUCAUGAGAGACACAGAGAGAGAGGCAGAGACACAGGCAGAGGGAGAAGCAGGCUCCAUGCAGGGAGCCCCAUGCGGCACUUGAUCCCAGGUCUCCAGGAUCACGCCCUGAGCCGAAGGCAGACGCCCAACCACUGAGCCACCCAGAUGUCCCUGACUGAAACACCUCUUGAAUGAAAUCUAUUCUAGCUCCACCAUAACAACCUAUAAACAAGGCUCAAGUUUGUCACACUGAUCAACAGAUAAAUGCCUUUCACUUCUUGAAGGAAAACAACAAAAUCCAAACAUUCAAUAAUACAGUAAUUAUAAUGCCCAGCACCCAAUAAAAAGUCAUUAGGCAUGCCAGAACCCAAGAAGAUGAUCCCCAACCAGGAGAAAAUUCAUACAAAAGAAAUGCUAAGAGAGGUUACAUCAGCAGACAAGGAACUCAGAUACUGCAUUCAUAUAGUCAAAGGCAAAGAACAUAAUGAAGAGAGAAAUCAAACUCAUUUAAAAAACCCAUAUAGAACUUUUAGAGAUUAAAAGACAAUGUAUGAGAUAGAAUUUUCACAUGAUAAGAUUAACAGUGGAUUAGACAUUGCAGUAGAAAAGACUGGUAAACAUGAAAGCACAAAGAUAAAAUGAAUGAAAAAAUAAAAGUUCAGUGACUUCUGAGGGAACACUGGGUUCAAAAUUACACGUAAAUGAAGUCUCGGAACAAGACUGUAGAAACAAUAUAGGAAGAAAAAUGGCCAGUAUUUUCCAAUUUGAUUAAAACAAAAUACACACACCAACACACAUCAUAACCAAAUUGCUAUAAGCAGUGAUAAAUAGAAAAUCUUAAAGCAACCAGGAAGAGCAAGAGACGGGCUAGGGGAGGAAUAUCUCAUCCCCACACCCCCACGCCACCCCAACUAGCAUAACCUAGGAAGGUUAUGCAAUUGCCUGAAUGAUGCAAGACUUCUAGACAGUGUGCUAGGGUAAGUUCCACUGCGUGACAAAUGUCAAGGGACUGAUACUUCAGACAAGGGGCUCACUGUGUUGUCCCAAGGAGAGGCUUCUAGAGCUCUAAGUCCCAACCCAAAUCCCUCGCAGCUGGACAUGGAAGCCUUGGAAGGAAAGAUAGCCACUUAGGAGCAGGCCAUCAACCUCCCCUCCAUUUUCCAAAUAGAGAAACUGAAAAGCAUGGUUUUCUCCAUAUGGGAAAAGGCAGAUCUGUAGGACAGAAGUUUCUAGCCGUCAACGUCUGGGCUGUGGGGCCAGCACUCUUAUACUGCAUUGUAAUGAAAAAUCAAAUUUUCUGUUAUAGGAGAAAAUACCCAUGGUACCCUUGUGGUACAACCAAGACAUGAAUUCAAAUCUAAUUUAAGCCUGAGGUACUUAAACCAUACAGUCAUCACUACGAGGGAGGUCCCUGACCCUAACAAUACUGAUUUGAGGCUCUCCAGAGAAAAAAGAUGAAUGAGCAGACUAAAGAACCUCUCCCCCUCCCCCUGCCAUAUCCAAUGAGGGCAGGAGGAGGGAUAUCUGGGGGAGUGGGGGGGGGGUAAGGAAGGAAAAAACAAAAGAAAGAUAAAAGAAAGAAAAAAGACAAUCAGGAAAAGUGAAUAAAAUAAAUGAACAUGGACACAUACACACUAUUAAAUUGAAACAAAGUUUCAUAAUUUGAGCCAAUUGGAAAUCCAAAAUUUACUGAAGGAAUUUACAUAACAAUAAGAUAAAAGGGCACUAAUUAGGUCUUAUGCCUCUACAAUGUAUAGGUUCUGAAAUAAUAUGUACUCAAAUAUGCCAAUUGGGGGUGCCUGGGGGCUCAGUCGGUUAAACAUCCCACCCUUGAUUUCAGCUCAGGUCAAGAUCUCAGGGUCCUGGAAUUGAGCUCUGCACUGCGUUCUGUUGCUCAAUGCAGAGUCUGCUUGUCCCUCCUCCCUCUGCUCCUCCCACUCCCCUCCUCCUCUUUCAAAUAAAUAAAUAUUAAAAUCUUUUUAAAAAAAUAAUAAAAUACACCAUUUGGGGCUCAAAUUUCAGUUAUACCUGGGGAUAAAUUUGAAUAUGGCACCCUGAUAAUUUGAGGAAAGUAAAUAUAGAGAAAACAUAGGCAUGCCUCAUUUUAACUACAGCCUUGCCUUUCCCAUAGCCAGAGGACCCACUGCCCUAAAAUAUUCCACAGUGAACGUGAGUAAUGAAUUAAAACUAAAUUAAGCCUUUGACACUUACAAACUGGUUUGACAAAAUAGGACCCCACGGGUCCCUGGAUAAUGUAGUUAAUAUGGCCCAAUGAGGGUUAAAAUAGGGUCUUCAAGUAUGGAAACUUAUAUAUGGCCCAAAUGAUGAAUGGGUGAUCAUUCCUACUGCUUCUCCACUUGACAGCCUACUUUUGCAAACUGUUCUUAAAUCUAGGAGAUGGAUGAUGCCUCAUGCUGGAUCACUGCAAUCUUAAAUGCUGAAGUCCCAUCCAUGAAGGCCCCCAUGCUCAACACCCAGUAUUACUGAAAUUAAUAAUGUCAUCCAAUCAGAAACCAGCUAAUAUGUUCAAUUUAGUGCCUAUUCAGAAAGUCUCUCAGCCAGUUUGCCUUCACCUUUGAAGGAACACAAAACACCUUGACCAGCCCGCCCACCCAAAUGAAAAUCAACGGGCACCUCCUUUAUAGACCUUCAGAGACUCCAUGGGUGUGGCUUUGACAACCUCCCCUCUUCCCUCCAGGUCUGUGGACCACCUCUGAUGGCCUUAAGUUGCCCUUUGGCUUCUGAUGGUGAAAACUACCCUUCUCAGUCUCAUGCUACCACUAGCGCAGAGAUUGCUGGCCACGUAUGGAGAUGCUCUGCAAAGAGUGGCUCCCACAGACUCCAAGCCUAUGAGUCUCCAUACCCAGCUCCCCAUUAAGCCUUGGGUCGUGGCAGCAGCACCCCACAAGUUCAGCACUGCUUCUGAGGCCUCUUUGUAGGACAGAGCCAAAAACGUGGGCCCAAGGGCUUGUUCCGAUUGCGAGAGAAAUGGCCUCCUUUGUCCUUAGCCUCUUGCCAGAUGUCAGCCCUCCUCCAGACCCUGGACUCCAUGGGGAACCGCCUGGGAUUAACUGAGGGAACAGCAGCGCAAGCUCACCGAGCGUACGGAUCAUACAUGAGGGAGCUCAGUGCAGUGCUGCUGCUUUUUAAUCCCUUAAUGAGGAUGUCCCUGAUACAGGGUAGGACGCAAUAGGUAGCAAAAGUGGUCAAAUUUCAGGCAGUCACCUUUGCACCACGUGCACUUUUACAAACUUUGAGGCCACUGCCUAAAAGUUGGUCCCCUCCCCUCAAUGAAAAAAACUCCAAAUCUCUUGCCUACAGAUACCCAAGAUAUAAAUCUUGGGUAUAAAGUCACGUGCCCCUAUAUACACUAAGGCCAUAAUACCAGGCCCCACCGGACACUCCUCAUCUCCGAGUUCCAGACAUUACUGAUAGUAACCAAGACACACAUUUUACUUCUCAAACUUCCCAAAUGCUGGGCUCUUAAAAAAGGCAUCCAACUGAGCUUUUAUCUUCCCUACAGGUCCCAGCCAGCCAGUUAGAUGAGAGCCAUAGUGGUCUCUUCAAAUAACUUCCUUUAAAACUCUAAUCUGCAAAUGGACCCCUAAAUGCAUCUCUAUCUUGCACCAGGCCUUAUUCUCUCUUAGUUUAAGGCUCCUUGGAUAGCUCACACCUUACACCAACUAAGCAAGCAAACAGCUUUCCAAGGCCCUUUCCUAUCCUGAGAGGGGGCAUGGCUGGCCUCUACGUAUAUGAAAACUCACCACAUAUGAGGCCUUUUGCUAAUGCCUCCAACUAUCUUUAAGGCUUUUCAAUCCUGCCUCCAUCCCGUGACUAUCUUCUGGAACCUGCCAACCACAAAUUUUCUGUCAGCCAGACAUCUGCUCAACUCAAAUGGGACCAUUUAAGCCUGAAUUUCCAUCAACCUCCCCCCCCCAAAAAAAACAACCUUCUUUAGUACUGAAUAGAAAUAGGUGGAUCAUUCUUCUGGGAUCUCCCUCCAGUCCCCGCAAGGACGUAAAACUGAGUUGUCCAGGGCCAUUCCCACAGACAGUGUGGACUGCUCAGAAGGAACCAGAAAAAUCCCACUUUGCAAAUGAAAACCAUCAGAGAUGAUAAUAAAGUCACCAUGGUGGGGAUCCCUGGGUGGCUCAGCAGUUUCGCACCUGCCUUCAGCCCACGGCGCGAUCCUGGAGUCCCGGGAUUGAGUCCCACGUCGGGCUCCCUGCGUGGAGUCUGCUUCUCCAUCUGCCUGUGUCUCUACCUCUCUCUAUAUAUAUGUCUAUCAUAAAUAAAUAAAAAAAUAAAUCUUUAAAAAAAUAAAGUCACCAUGGUGUCCCACCCUGAUGAGCCCAGACAGCCCCUUGUUGGUAAUCCUACCGCGGACUGGAGGCAACAGGUGCAGUCGCACACCACGCCACUGCCUAUUGGUCUUGUUACUUUUGGUCUGAGUGCUUUCCCUGGUUUGUGAUCCGGAAACCCAAAUCUUCCAAGUCAGUCACUGUUUCAACCAAACAGAGCAAGUGCCGAGCCCCACACGACCUCAAGUGUGGCAACGCCAGCGCUGCAGCCCUGAGGCCCUGCCAUUUGCCUGCCAACAAUGAAACCAGCACACGCAACAAAAGGCCCAUAAUAACUGGCUAAGUUGGAGGGGCUGCCCACAGUUUACCGCCGCAGCUGCAACACCUCAGAGAUUUGGACUGGCAAUCGUGCACCAGAGUAACGGCAUGCACCGAAGUCAGGCCGUAAGGUUGAAAAUCUAUUUGCAGCAGAACUCCUCUCAUCACCCAUCUGGGCAAAACCUUGGACUAUUGGGGAGAUUUUAGACUUGGCCACACUCCGAGGGGUUUGAUCGUGCCAGCUGGGUUCUGGUACUCUGGCCCGAUUAUGACAACAUCAGGGGUACCAGCAUCACUUUUGCUAGCUGUACACCCACAAAGUCCCCGCACUUAAGAGACACAAGUCAAACUCUCAGCCCAACAUUGCCUUCAAAUUCUACAAGCAGCUUAGUCUAAUAUUGUGGGUUGUAGGAGGGACAUUUAUAUUGGGACCCUGGGUGGCUCAGCAGUUGAGCAUCUGCCUUUGGUCCGGGGUGUGAUCCUGGAGACCCGGAAUUGAGUCCUGCGUCGGGCUCCCUGCGUGGAACCUGCUUCUCCCUCUGCCUGUGUCUCUGCCUCUCUCUCUCUCUCUCUCUGUCUCUCAUGAAUAAAUAAAAUCCUAAAAAAAAAAAAAAGAAAAAUGAGGGACGUUUAUACCCUCAGACACAAAAUACGUAACAACGCAGAAAAAAACCUAAAAUUCAUUAUAGUGUAAUUAGUUUUGUGAAUGUAAAAUUAAGGUGCUCGUAAUAAAACUGUUAGAGUUAGUGACUUUAAAGAUUUAUUUAUUUUAGAGAGAGCACGCACUUGUGUGCACACGAGCUGGGGGAGGAGCAGAAGGAGAGAACAGAGAGCAUCUCAAGCAGAUUCCUCAUUGGACUCGGAGCUGGCGAGGAGCUGACGCAGAGCCCGACACAGGGCUUGAUCCCAUGACCCUGUUUCAUGGCCCAAGCUGAAAUCAAGAGUCCACGCUCAACCCGCUGAACCACCCAGGUGUCCCUAGGGUUACUGACUUUAAGAUUAAAUGGUCAGAGUCUCAGGAUUUUACAGUUUGCGUUUUUCCUCUUGGUUCAAUUUUGUAAUUUCUAUCCUCAGAAAAUAAAAUACUCAAAAAACAAACCAAAAAACCUACGGCCCAUAACAACCUUAGUGGGUAUCCGCUUGGAAAGGAUACACCAGUCCCUCCCAGAUCACACUGCUCUGGCCCCGAAGUUCACCACUGCAGAAGACUUUGCCUUGGACGCCAUCACCCCAGCCCACGAUCGCCCCACUGGGGAGGACUGCACUCCAGGCACUGA